rnacentral:rRNA from 1 species
UACGAAGGGGGCUAGCGUUGUUCGGAAUUACUGGGCGUAAAGCGCAUGUAGGCGGAUAUUUAAGUCAGGGGUGAAAUCCCAGAGCUCAACUCUGGAACUGCCUUUGAUACUGGGUAUCUUGAGUAUGGAAGAGGUGAGUGGAAUUCCGAGUGUAGAGGUGAAAUUCGUAGAUAUUCGGAGGAACACCAGUGGCGAAGGCGGCUCACUGGUCCAUUACUGACGCUGAGGUGCGAAAGCGUGGGGAGCAAACAGG